CAAAGAACAUAACCUAGCCUCUCUCCCUAGGUCUCAGCACAGCCUCGCUCUCUUCACCUCUCAAUGUCGGCGAGGGUCCGUUCCUCCCACCACCUCGCCGCGCCGCCGACCUUCCUCGCAGCAUCACCCUUCCACUGCACCCUUACCCCCUUACCCCCACACCCCACCCCCAACCUAACCCCUUACCCCCACACCUUACACCCAAAUGAAACCUAGCCAGUAGCCACUCUCUUCUCACACUCUCGCUCUCUGCACUCUCGAGGCCUGCGGCGAAACCACCUAGCGCCGGCGAGACCGUUCCUCCCACCACCUUGCAGCGCCGCCGAACUCUCCCCCCUAACGCCUCUGAACCUUCCUCCAAUUACUCCCUGGACCUCCUCGCGGACAGAGCACAACGAAGCCCCAACCCCAGCCAGCAGUGAGCAGCCCAACACCACCCUCGCACCCAGCAGUAGCAUAGCACCACCCACUCACCCAGCACAGCACCACGCCACCACCCAGUAGCGUUUCUGGCCACCCACAACUUAGCACCUCCGACCCAGCCACCGAUUCAAGUCAGAUAUGGAGUCGGAGUCACCGAGUCAGUAUGGAGCUUUCAGGAUCUUUGUCUCCUUUUGUUGCCAAUAUGACAGCUCUGACUAAUAUCUGGCUUGGGAAUAACAAUUUGUCAAGGCACAUUCCUGACCUAGGUUCACUAACACUGUUAGAAACAUUGUAAGUAAGUCAUUUUGUAUGCAAUUCCAUGAUCUAAAUGUUUGAAAUCAGAGAACUUUGAUGUAUUCAUGCCAUGAAGCUCACUAUCUGGAUAUUAUUAUCGUAUUUAAAGGCACUUGGAAGACAAUCAAUUCGACGAAGAGAUUCCUUCAUCUUUAAGGAACAUAAACACUUUGCAUGAAGUAUAAGCUCUGUCCUCUUUAUACAAGAGAAUUAAACUGGUUUUUGUGCUGUUUCUUGAAUCCUGAGUAGAUAUUUAAGUCAGCCCUAUACAACUACAUUGUUUACAUGAGUGUGGCCCAAAAAUGGUACAAUUUAUUUGAAUUCCUUUUGUCGAUAAAUUUUAUUGGAUCAAGACUUUGUUAGCUAUUGUGUAUUUGCGUUUGUCGAUUUCAAUUUUAUGACUUUGUGAAAUAGUAUGGCAGUAUUUUUUUUUGAAUUGAUUGAAAAACUGAACAAACCGAACCAAACCAAAUCGAUUUUAAUGGGUUUGGUUUGGUUCGGAUGGCCUUGAUAAAAAACCGAACCGCAGUUUAAUUAAACGAUUGGAUCAGAUGGCUUUUCUCUCAAAAACCGAACCAAACCACACCGCGAACACCCCUAGUCAAAGCUAGCAAAAAAUUAAACUUAGUUUCAGUUAACCAUAAAUUUGGUUUUGGUUAAAUAUAUUAACUAGUAACUAGGGGUAGCAAACGGGCCUAAAUUUACCGGCCCGACCUGUGUAACCUGCCAAAAAAGAUGGGCCGGACUGAAAAAUUGGGACCGCCAAAUAGCAAAAGCCCACUUAACCUGCACCGCUUAAACCGCGGGCUUUGGCGGGGCAGGACAGGCUUCCUCGUCGGGCUUAGUGUUUUUUUGGUAAGGGGUAUUUUUGUAAUUUUUUGGCCAAAACCUAACUUCUCCCAACCAAACUUACAAGAGAAUAAAGAUGAAAAUUGAGUGUUUUGGAUUAUGUUUAUUUUGUUUUGGAGACAAUAUUUAUAAUUAUGCUUUGGAUUAUGUUUAUUUUGAUU